GGGAUUAGAUACCCCACUAUGCUUAGCCUUAAACCUAGAUGUUGAAUUUACAAGCAACAUCCGCCAGGGUACUACAAGCGCUAGCUUAAAACCCAAAGGACUUGACGGUGUCUCAGACCCACCUAGAGGAGCCUGUUCUAGAACCGAUAAUCCCCGUUAAACCUCACCACCCCUUGUUUCCUCCGCCUAUAUACCGCCGUCGCAAGCUUACCCUGUGAAGGUCUAAUAGUAAGCAAAAUGGGUAAAUCCCAAAACGUCAGGUCGAGGUGUAGCUUACGAGGUGGGAAGAAAUGGGCUACAUUUUCUAUGCCAGAAUAACACGAACAGCACCAUGAAAUUAGUGCUCGAAGGUGGAUUUAGUAGUAAAAAACAAAUAGAGAGUCUUUUUGAACCAGGCUCUGAGACGCGCACACACCGCCC
rnacentral:rRNA from 1 species